rnacentral:rRNA from 1 species
GAAUAGGGGAGCCGAAGGGAAACCGAGUCUUAACUGGGCGUUAAGUUGCAGGGUAUAGACCCGAAACCCGGUGAUCUAGCCAUGGGCAGGUUGAAGGUUGGGUAACACUAACUGGAGGACCGAACCGACUAAUGUUGAAAAAUUAGCGGAUGACUUGUGGCUGGGGGUGAAAGGCCAAUCAAACCGGGAGAUAGCUGGUUCUCCCCGAAAGCUAUUUAGGUAGCGCCUCGUGAAUUCAUCUCCGGGGGUAGAGCACUGUUUCGGCAAGGGGGUCAUCCCGACUUACCAACCCGAUGCAAACUGCGAAUACCGGAGAAUGUUAUCACGGGAGACACACGGCGGGUGCUAACGUCCGUCGUGAAGAGGGAAACAACCCAGACCGCCAGCUAAGGUCCCAAAGUCAUGGUUAAGUGGGAAACGAUGUGGGAAGGCCCAGACAGCCAGGAUGUUGGCUUAGAAGCAGCCAUCAUUUAAAGAAAGCGUAAUAGCUCACUGGUCGAGUCGGCCUGCGCGGAAGAUGUAACGGGGCUAAACCAUGCACCGAAGCUGCGGCAGCGACACUAUGUGUUGUUGGGUAGGGGAGCGUUCUGUAAGCCUGUGAAGGUGGCCUGUGAGGGUUGCUGGAGGUAUCAGAAGUGCGAAUGCUGACAUAAGUAACGAUAAAGCGGGUGAAAAGCCCGCUCGCCGGAAGACCAAGGGUUCCUGUCCAACGUUAAUCGGGGCAGGGUGAGUCGACCCCUAAGGCGAGGCCGAAAGGCGUAGUCGAUGGGAAACAGGUUAAUAUUCCUGUACUUGGUGUUACUGCGAAGGGGGGACGGAGAAGGCUAUGUUGGCCGGGCGACGGUUGUCCCGGUUUAAGCGUGUAGGCUGGUUUUCCAGGCAAAUCCGGAAAACCAAGGCUGAGGCGUGAUGACGAGGCACUACGGUGCUGAAGCGACAAAUGCCCUGCUUCCAGGAAAAGCCUCUAAGCAUCAGGUAACAUCAAAUCGUACCCCAAACCGACACAGGUGGUCAGGUAGAGAAUACCAAGGCGCUUGAGAGAACUCGGGUGAAGGAACUAGGCAAAAUGGUGCCGUAACUUCGGGAGAAGGCACGCUGAUAUGUAGGUGAAGCGACUUGCUCGUGGAGCUGAAAUCAGUCGAAGAUACCAGCUGGCUGCAACUGUUUAUUAAAAACACAGCACUGUGCAAACACGAAAGUGGACGUAUACGGUGUGACGCCUGCCCGGUGCCGGAAGGUUAAUUGAUGGGGUUAGCGGUAACGCGAAGCUCUUGAUCGAAGCCCCGGUAAACGGCGGCCGUAACUAUAACGGUCCUAAGGUAGCGAAAUUCCUUGUCGGGUAAGUUCCGACCUGCACGAAUGGCGUAAUGAUGGCCAGGCUGUCUCCACCCGAGACUCAGUGAAAUUGAACUCGCUGUGAAGAUGCAGUGUACCCGCGGCAAGACGGAAAGACCCCGUGAACCUUUACUAUAGCUUGACACUGAACAUUGAGCCUUGAUGUGUAGGAUAGGUGGGAGGCUUUGAAGUGUGGACGCCAGUCUGCAUGGAGCCGACCUUGAAAUACCACCCUUUAAUGUUUGAUGUUCUAACGUUGGCCCGUAAUCCGGGUUGCGGACAGUGUCUGGUGGGUAGUUUGACUGGGGCGGUCUCCUCCUAAAGAGUAACGGAGGAGCACGAAGGUUGGCUAAUCCUGGUCGGACAUCAGGAGGUUAGUGCAAUGGCAUAAGCCAGCUUGACUGCGAGCGUGACGGCGCGAGCAGGUGCGAAAGCAGGUCAUAGUGAUCCGGUGGUUCUGAAUGGAAGGGCCAUCGCUCAACGGAUAAAAGGUACUCCGGGGAUAACAGGCUGAUACCGCCCAAGAGUUCAUAUCGACGGCGGUGUUUGGCACCUCGAUGUCGGCUCAUCACAUCCUGGGGCUGAAGUAGGUCCCAAGGGUAUGGCUGUUCGCCAUUUAAAGUGGUACGCGAGCUGGGUUUAGAACGUCGUGAGACAGUUCGGUCCCUAUCUGCCGUGGGCGCUGGAGAACUGAGGGGGGCUGCUCCUAGUACGAGAGGACCGGAGUGGACGCAUCACUGGUGUUCGGGUUGUCAUGCCAAUGGCACUGCCCGGUAGCUAAAUGCGGAAGAGAUAAGUGCUGAAAGCAUCUAAGCACGAAACUUGC